AAACUGGUAGACUAGAGUGCAGGAGAGGUGAGUGGAAUUCCAUGUGUAGCGGUAAAAUGCGUAGAUAUAUGGAGGAACACCAGUGGCGAAGGCGGCUCACUGGCCUGUUACUGACGCUGAGGCUCGAAAGCGUGGGGAGCAAAUAGGAUUAGAUACCCUAGUAGUCCACGCCGUAAACGAUGGAUACUAAGUGUUGGUGAAAAAUCAGUGCUGUAGUUAACGCAAUAAGUAUCCCGCCUGGGGAGUAUGCGCGCAAGCGUCAAACUCAAAGGAAUUGACGGGGGCCCGCACAAGCGGUGGAGUAUGUGGUUUAAUUCGAAGCAACGCGAAGAACCUUACCAGGUCUUGACAUAUAGUUAAAAAGCACAGAGAUGUGUAAUAGUUAUAGCUAUACAGGUGGUGCAUGGUUGUCGUCAGCUCGUGUCGUGAGAUGUUGGGUUAAGUCCCGUAACGAGCGCAACCCUUGUCUUUAGUUACCAGCAUUCAGUUGGGGACUCUAGAGAUACUGCCGGUGAUAAACCGGAGGAAGGUGGGGAUGACGUCAAAUCAUCAUGCCCUUUAUGUCCUGGGCUACACACGUGCUACAAUGGUCGAUACAACGAGGAGCAACACAGCGAUGUGAAGCAAAUCUCUUAAAGUCGAUCUCAGUUCGGAUUGCAGGCUGCAACUCGCCUGCAUGAAGCCGGAGU
rnacentral:rRNA from 1 species